rnacentral:rRNA from 1 species
GACGAACGCUGGCGGCGUGCUUAACACAUGCAAGUCGAGCGGUAAGGCCCUUUCGGGGGUACACGAGCGGCGAACGGGUGAGUAACACGUGGGUGACCUGCCCUUAGCUCUGGGAUAAGCCUGGGAAACUGGGUCUAAUACCGGAUAUGACUCCAUGACGCAUGUUGUGGGGUGAAAGCCUUGUGCGGCUAGGGAUGGGCCCNCGGCCUAUCAGCUUGUUGGUGGGGUGAUGGCCACCAAGGCGACGACGGGUAGCCGGCCUGAGAGGGCGACCGGCCACACUGGGACUGAGACACGGCCCAGACUCCUACGGGAGGCAGCAGUGGGGAAUCUUGCGCAAUGGGCGAAAGCCUGACGCAGCGACGCCGCGUGGGGAUGAC